GAGUUUGAUCGUGGCUCAGAUUGAACGCUGGCGGCAUGCUUUACACAUGCAAGUCGAACGGGGUGAGGGGGCAACUCCUCAUUCAGUGGCGAACGGGUGAGUAAUGCAUCGGAACGUGCCCCGUAGUGGGGGAUAACGCCGCGAAAGCGGCGCUAAUACCGCAUACGCUCUAUGGAGGAAAGCAGGGGACCCGCGGGGGCCUUGUGCUAGGGGGGCGGCCGAUGUCCGAUUAGCUGGUUGGUGGGGUAAUGGCCUACCAAGGCGACGAUCGGUAGCUGGUCUGAGAGGAUGAUCAGCCACACUGGGACUGAGACACGGCCCAGACUCCUACGGGAGGCAGCAGUGGGGAAUUUUGGACAAUGGGGGCAACCCUGAUCCAGCCAUGCCGCGUGCGGGAAGAAGGCC
rnacentral:rRNA from 1 species